rnacentral:rRNA from 1 species
GCCAAAAAUCUAGCCCUACUUGACCCAAUUAACCUAUAAUCUAAAACCAUAAAUAAAAACAUUUUCCCCUUUUAGUAAAGGCGAUUGAAAAAUUCAUUAGAGCUAUAACAACAGUACCGCAAGGAAAAGAUGAAAUAAAAAUGAAACAAACCUCAAGCAUGAUAAAGCAAAGACAUACCCUUGUACCUUUUGCAUCAUGAUCUAUCUAGUCUAAUCAAGCGGAAAGAACUUAAGUUUGACAUCCCGAAACUAGACGAGCUACUUCGAGGCAGCUUAACGAGCCCACCCGUCUCUGUUGCAAAAGAGUGGGAAGACCCCCAAGUAGCGGUGACAGACCUAACGAGCCUAGUGAUAGCUGGUUACUUAAGAAAAGGAUUUUAGUCCAACCUAAAACAUAUAUAAUACACUUAAAUAUCACCUAUGAUUUAGUGACACUCAAACGAGGUACAGCCCGUUUGAAAUAAGGACACAACCUACACUAAUGGGUAACUCCUCACUUUUAUUAAUCAAGUGGGCCUAAAAGCAGCCACCUUUAAAAUAGCGUCAAAGCUUUAUUUUAUAAAACACUAAUAACACAACCCCCUGUAAACCCUUUAUCAGUAUUAAGUCUUUCUAUAUUCUUAUAGAAGUAUUUAUGUUAGAACUAGUAAUAAGAAGACAGACCUUCUCUUAAAUGUAGGUGUAAAUCAGAAAGGACAAACCACUGAUAAUUAACCACUAAUGAACACAAAACAACAACUUAACCGGAAAACCCUGUUUUACAUAGUGUUGAUCUAACACCAGCACAUUGCAAGAAAGAUUAAAAGAAAAAGAAGGAACUCGGCAAAUAUUAACCCCGCCUGUUUACCAAAAACAUCGCCUCUUGACCCCUUAUAAGAGGUCCAGCCUGCCCAGUGACUAAGUUCAACGGCCGCGGUAUCCUAACCGUGCGAAGGUAGCGUAAUCACUUGUUCUUUAAAUAAGGACUAGUAUGAAUGGCAUCACGAGGGUUAUACUGUCUCCUUUUUCUAAUCAAUGAAACUGAUCUCCCCGUGAAGAAGCGGGGAUAAAUUUAUAAGACGAGAAGACCCUAUGGAGCUUCAAAUGAUAUAGCACUGGCCCUUUCUCUUUACAUUUCAGAAAUAUUAUAUUUAAACAAGCCAAAAUGACUAUUAAUUUUAGGUUGGGGUGACCGCGGAGCAGAAACCAACCUCCAUGUUGAACGGAGCUACUCCUUAGCCAAAAGCCACAGCUCUAAGCAACAACAAAUUGACACUAAUUGACCCAAUACUUUGAUCAACGAACCAAGUUACCCUAGGGAUAACAGCGCAAUCCAUUUCAAGAGCUCCUAUCGACAAGUGGGUUUACGACCUCGAUGUUGGAUCAGGGUAUCCCAGUGGUGCAGCCGCUACUAAAGGUUCGUUUGUUCAACGAUUAAAACCCU